CAGAAACCAACCCUGAUGGCACCUUGAUCUUGGACUUUUGACCUCCAGAAUGAAGAAAGGAAAAAGUCCAGUCUUUCAAAAGAAAGGUCUAAGCAAAGGAGAAAGAAAAAAUCACCUAAAAGAAAACACAAGGAGUAUUCUGAAGAUAGUGACAGUGACUCUGAUUCUGGAACAGACUCCAGCGACAAAUUUAGGGAUGCCACUCCCUACAUUGCUUUACCAAAUGCUUAAAAACAACAGCAGGAGGACUCGACUUUAAGCUAGCUCCCGCCGUCAGUCUCAGUGUAACUACAUAGCCAUUAGUUAUUCAGAUAGUGUGCUCUGUGGACGAGUUACUCCCUUCUGCCAGUGGUGAGAUAUUUACACAAUUACUCAUUUUAGCUCAGAGGUUAUGCUUGGUUUUAAAUAUUUUAAAUAGUAUAAUUGAGCUCUCUUAUAACCCAGCUCCUUAGUGCAUUAAUUUGAAUACUUCCAAGUCAGACUGAGUCCCAACAUGACUACAUAGAAGAAAGAAGUAUUCCUUUAGGGAGGGCCAACAUCUUCCCUAAAGAAUACCUGUGUUAGGAGGUAUUGACGCAAAUAAUUAAAAAUCAUUCUAUUGUAAAAGAAAAGAAGAGAGUUUUAUUUGAGCCAAACUGAGGACUAUAGCCUAGGAGUCGCAGCCUUCACAAGGGAAGAAAGCGCUCUGGCUAAGAGCGAUUUUCAGCACAGUUAUAUACCGUUUCAAAACAAAGAGAUGUACAUCGAGCACGACAGGGGUACAUUCCUUCAAGGAGAUCUUUGUUACAGAUUAGCAUGGGUACAGCGGGUCAACAUGACCCUGGCAUCAUAGGAAGGGAGGCAUUAAUUCUUAUCUUCAAAAAGUGCACUCUGCUUUAGGGUAAUGAUUAAAGCAGAUGUACAAUGUAUGUUUGACAGGCCGUAAAUCAGACUUCUUUGGUUCAAAUGAAAUUCAGGUCAAAUCAAAUUCAAACCAGAAUGGCUUCCCCAUAUACUUUAAUAUAAAAAUUUUCUUAUAUCAGAGGAGUUGAACUUUAUUGUAAAAUAUAUAUAUAAAUGUGGUACAGGUAUAGGAAAAGUGGUUGUGUUCUAUUGUUUUUUUCCUUUAGGAACUCAUGUUCGCACUGGAAAUGGGCAAGUUCCAUAAUCUGAAAUUUACUUAUCCCAUUUUGUUUCCCUUAAAGCUCCCCAAAUUCAAAACUUAUUUUCCAGUCAUGGAAAAGACAAUAAAAACAAACCAACAUGAGAAUGACCAGGACAGAGGUGUCCAAGUCCUGAAGCAGGUUUCAAAUGGCUGCCCUGCCGAGCUGCUUUGUUCAGGUUUACUCGCCUGCACCCUGGCUUCAGUCACACUCAUGCACAGUGCAAUCUCCUUUCUGAGAAGACAAAAGCACAAAUGUCCAAUAUUCAGAUAUGUGAAUGGAACUAAAUAUAUGGAUGUUAUUUCAUGCUUGUUUUAAAAUUUCUCUCCCUCUUAUGCCCCCCACCCCAGCAGAAUUUUCUGUAAUACCCAGUUCAAGGCUUGCUUUAGGGGGUGGUCUUCCUUCCCGCACAAAAUUUAAUGUGGCACCAAAACAAUCAGUGAUCAAGAUAAUGUUUUAACAAAUUUAACAAGUAUCAAAAUGAAUGCAAAAAUAAUCCAUGAUGAAAAAAUUAUCAAAAUUUAGAUAUAGGUAGGAUCUGACCCUGC